UACGAAGGGGGCUAGCGUUGUUCGGAAUUACUGGGCGUAAAGGGCGCGUAGGCGGUGUGUCAAGUCAGGCGUGAAAGCCCCGGGCUCAACCUGGGAACUGCGCUUGAGACUGGCACGCUCGAGUUCGGGAGAGGAUGGUGGAAUUCCCAGUGUAGAGGUGAAAUUCGUAGAUAUUAGGAAGAACACCAGUGGCGAAGGCGGCUCACUGGCCCGGUACUGACGCUGAGACGCGAAAGCGUGGGGGAGCAAACAGG
rnacentral:rRNA from 1 species